UACAGAGGGGGCAAGCGUUGUUCGGAAUUACUGGGCGUAAAGGGCGCGUAGGCGGCCUGCUAAGUCGAACGUGAAAUCCCCGGGCUCAACCCGGGAACUGCGUCCGAUACUGGUAGGCUUGAAUUCGGGAGAGGGAUGCGGAAUUCCAGGUGUAGCGGUGAAAUGCGUAGAUAUCUGGAGGAACACCGGUGGCGAAGGCGGCAUCCUGGACCAAUACUGACACUGAGGAGCGAAAGCCAGGGGAGCAAACGGG
rnacentral:rRNA from 1 species